AUGGAGGCGGAUAAGGGAAAAGAUGUCGACUUUGUUGAUGAAGACAAGGAGCAGGCGGAGAUCCAAGCCGCGGCUCGAAAGUGGGACGACAUUAUGCGGUCGAGGAUCGAUUUAAUGCGGCGACUUGGCCAACCCGUCAGGCUUUUCUACCCCAACAAUCCGGUGGAUCCUCGCAUCCUCCUCAAUCGAGAGAGCAACUGCGACAAGAUCGACACGGGCGCCGGGUAUGAACCCUCAACUCUCCAAGUUCCUUCCCUCUUUUUUUAUGCGGUUCCAUCUCUCAGGGGUUGUUUGGAUCUCAGUUUGACCUCUAAAAAACUUGUCUGUUUAGAGUCUAGAUUCGGAGUACUACUCCGAUUGUUUCCUCACAAGAUCUGA
rnacentral:rRNA from 1 species